GAGAGCUCCUUCCUCCUCCUCUGUUCUUUUAAGCUCCUGCUGCGGUGGCAGACAUGGGAGAGACACGCAAGCUGCAAAGGGAAGCAGAGUCAAAUUAAAGCCUCCCAACCACGGCUCGUGGUGCUGCGGAUGGGGCGUCCCUCCCUCCCUCCCUCGGCUUGAUGAAGGUGGGUGUGAGAUCCCACAGGACUGUCUGGAAGAGAGCCCGUGGAAGUCACUGUAUUUUGCAGAAGCUGGAGGCGAAGCAGAAGGCAAGUUACAAUUCGUCUGUUGCAAGGCCCGGGUUGGGUGACAGAGGGGGGUGGUGGUGGGUGAGCUGAGAGUUUAGGAGAAGUCUUCAGGGGUUUUGACUGUGUAGGGAAAAGGGCGUGGUACCUAGAAGUGACCCAGAGUCCACAGAAACAACUUACCAGCAUGUGGAGCGGAGUGCCUUAUAGGGAUACCACCACUCUGGCUAUGUGUUCUGGCAGGUGGGAGACUGGGAACAGGCUCUGUGCCUGAGCUGCUGCUGGACCGGCUUCUUCUCUUCUUUACACUACUAGGGUUGUUUGGAGUCCCUUCUGCUUCGCAGGGAGCUGCAUCCCAGCGGCCUUUCCCAUCCUACAGUCUGUAUAUCUAGGCUAGGGGCUACUUCCUGCUUUUCAAACUUGCAAGUUUCCUUUGAGCGUGAACAGGGGCUUUUCAAGACAGGCUAGUGGGGUCUGUGCAUUCAAAACAUAUGGUACGCCUUGCUAAUUUUUGAGUGUACAUCGUGAAACCGAUGCCUUGAGAUUAGUGAGUGCUUACCAGAUAUGUUGUAUGGGGAUUCACUUUUUAAGCUUUGUUAAGUUUUUAUUAGCACCACGCACAAAUCACCUGUUUACAUUUUCCUCUGACUGUUGGAUAUAGGUGAGGGGAAUGUCUCCUUUUUUAUUCAUUACAAAAAUCACACCGAAGAUAUAAAAGCUUUCUUCUGGUCUUUCAGACUAGAUGUAGCUUCUGGCUCUGACCUGAUGUUACUCCUUCCUUAGUUGUUGUAAUGUUCGUUCCGUCCAGAGAAUCUUCACCACAUAUGUCAGAGCAAGAUAAAGGUCACCAAGGAAUAGCAUUCACACUGGCCAGUUCCCAGGGUGACCUUUCUCUUCUCUGGGAGAUGUUUAUCAUCGCUCUGAGCUAUGGGGUAGAAUUGGCAUGUCCUUCUGUCCCCUCUCCUCAGAGUCCUGCACAACCUCAGAGCGUGUCUCUACUGCAGGUGGCCUGGGCUUCUACUUGAUUUGACUAGACAGUGAGGAGCUCUCAGCCAUUCUCCCCUCCCUCUCCCUAUUAGAACUGUUUCUGCGCUCAUGAAGAUGUGAUAAUUAAAUACAUCCUUGAAGGAGACAGAAAACAGCAACACCUUGCGUCUUGACUUCUUCCAGGGAGUGCAAACCCUUAGACCACCAGGAUGUCUUGUUCAAUGAGUUAUUUUUUUUCAAAAUGUAGCCCGAAUAGCAUCCUUUAUAAUUAAGACUCCUGGCUUUCAGUUUAAAGUGAUAUUUGCCAGUAAAAGCCUGCCAAAAAA
rnacentral:lncRNA from 1 species